rnacentral:lncRNA from 1 species
AGACAGGGUCUCGCUCUGUCACCCAGACUAGAGUGCAGUGGUGCAGAUCUUGGCUCACUACAGCCUUGACCUUCUGGGCUCAAAAGAUCCUACCAUCUCAGCCUCCUGAGUAGCUGCGACUACAGGCAUGUGCCACCACGCCCGGCUAUGGAUUUGUGGGGAGAUGUGCUGUGUGGAGUCCUGGAGUUUCAGCGAGAGGGCUCCGUGUGUGGAAGGUGCAGGACACCCCCAAGAAAUUCAGUGAAGCCCCACUCUGCGGUGACUGGCUAGACGUCCUGCUGCAAGCCCAGUACGUGAGAGACUGCUGGAGGCGGGCGGAGGAAGGGCUGCUGGACUCACACAGGGCCAUCUCACCCGGCCAGAAGAGGCAGUCUCCAGGCCUUGGUGAACAGACAGCAGAAGGUUUAAGGAUUCUCCACUGCCCCUGGUUUGGGAGGAGCUGCUCACGUAAAUAAAGAGGGGAUUUUGCCACCACAAGCAUAAAUACUCACUCUCAGAACAACGAGGCACCACCAGGGAACAAAAGAUAACAGUCUCUGUAACCUGCUGGAUCUUGCAGCUUUAUGGGUUUUGGCAAAAAAAGGAGUUGAGGGGGAUUGCAGAAUUCACUCAGCAUGCAGCUUGCUGUCAUUACCACGGUGAUAAAUUUGCUGGUUUUGGCCUGGGUUCCUGGACACAUCCCCAUCCAGAGGUAUGGAAAAGAGAUGAAAUGGAAACAGAGAACUCCCAGCCUGAGGCCGGAGACAGUCUGGGAGGGAAGUAGGGAGCCCAGAAUGGGGCUGAAAACCAAAAGGGUAGGGGAGGGAAGGAAUGCUCUGCCUGCAGGAGUGUCCAUAAUUAGUAAUUUUUCCUUCAGUAAUUUACCACAGUACAUGCUAGAAACACCUUCUCUCCCUUUUGAUACAUUAAUUGAUGGAUUGUGGGUGGCAGCGGGGAGCAGAGCUUACAGCAAUCCACGGGAAAGCUCCAGAGGAGACGGGUGACCUUAAAUAUGACCGCGAGCAGGGUAUGUGGAGGUGGUGCUCUGUGUGGUAUAUGGGUUUUCUCUGUUACUGAGUAGUUCUAGGGAAAGUAUUAUCAUCAUGCAGAAGUGAAACUGAUUUUUUUACAUCAGUAUUCAGUCUUCUGAAUAAAACCAUUUUCCAUAAGCUUCACACUCUAUUUUGCACGCAUGCUAGUUUGAGAUUAUUCACGUGAACGCUGCUUGGCUGGCCUGGAGGAGAGCUAUUCACUUACGACUCCCUGAGUGGCUGUCUGCUGCUCCUGCAAUUUCUGGGAUGCUGUGCCUCAUUCAACAUGUUUAUGUUGCUAUCAAACAAUAAAUACUUAUCUCUCAUCUACUAUCGGUUAAGCACUAUGUUCUAAGUGCUGUGGAAUAUACACACUCGUAGAAGGCUCUAUCCUAACCUAGGAAAGUCAGUGCAGUACAGGGAUCAGCAAAUAGGUGGCCCGUGUGCUCUUUCUUUUAAGUGCUGGACCAACGGCUGGCCUUGCUCCUCCAUCAGGGAUGGUUUGCUUUCCUGCUGAGCCUGAGUUUGGCUCUUCCACACAGCACUCUGGGCAGCUAUAGCCCAUCACUUGAAGUUG